rnacentral:rRNA from 1 species
AGUGAACGCUGGCGGUAGGCCUAACACAUGCAAGUCGAACGGCAGCACAGUAAGAGCUUGCUCUUACGGGUGGCGAGUGGCGGACGGGUGAGGAAUACAUCGGAAUCUACUUUUUCGUGGGGGAUAACGUAGGGAAACUUACGCUAAUACCGCAUACGACCUACGGGUGAAAGCAGGGGAUCUUCGGACUUGGCGCGUGUGGAUGGGCGGGUGGCUGAUUAGCUAGUUGGCGGGGUAGAGGCCUACCAAGGCGUUGAUGGGUAGCUGGCCUGAGAGGAUGACCGGCCACAGUGGGACUGAGAUACGGCCCAGACUCCUACGGGAGGCAGCAGGGGGGAAUAUUGCACAAUGGGCGGAAGCCUGAUGCAGCAACGCCGCGUGCGGGAUGACGGCCUUCGGGUUGUAAACCGCUUUCGCCUGUGACGAAGCGUGAGUGACGGUAAUGGGUAAAGAAGCACCGGCUAACUACGUG